AGCCUUCUGUAUCCAUUCUGAGAUUACGUCAGAGAUCAACCCGUUGGGGCUGAUGUAGUUUCCCAAAUAAGUGAAGCG
rnacentral:pre_miRNA from 1 species